UGCAGUCGAACGGGGGUAGCAAUACCCUAGUGGCGAACGGGUGAGUAAUGCAUCGGAACGUGUCCCGUAGUGGGGGAUAGCCCGGCGAAAGCCGGAUUAAUACCGCAUAUGCUCUACGGAGGAAAGUGGGGGACCGCAAGGCCUCACGCUAUGGGAGCGGCCGAUGUCCGAUUAGCUAGUUGGUGAGGUAAAGGCUUACCAAGGCGACGAUCGGUAGCUGGUCUGAGAGGAUGAUCAGCCACACUGGGACUGAGACACGGCCCAGACUCCUACGGGAGGCAGCAGUGGGGAAUUUUGGACAAUGGGGGCAACCCUGAUCCAGCCAUGCCGCGUGAGUGAAGAAGGCCUUCGGGUUGUAAAGCUCUUUCGGCCGGAAAGAAAGCUUACCCAAUAACAUUGGGUGAGGUUGACGGUACCGGCAUAAGAAGCACCGGCUAACUACGUGCCAGCAGCCGCGGUAAUACGUAGGGUGCGAGCGUUAAUCGGAAUUACUGGGCGUAAAGCGUGCGCAGGCGGUUUGUUAAGCUUGCUGUGAAAGCCCCGGGCUCAACCUGGGAAUGGCAGUGAGGACUGGCAGACUGGAGUGUGGCAGAGGGGGGUGGAAUUCCACGUGUAGCAGUGAAAUGCGUAGAGAUGUGGAGGAACACCGAUGGCGAA
rnacentral:rRNA from 1 species